rnacentral:rRNA from 1 species
AUUGAACGCUGGCGGCAGGCCUAACACAUGCAAGUCGAGCGGAGCGAGGGUGCUUGCACCUUAGCUUAGCGGCGGACGGGUGAGUAAUGCUUAGGAAUCUGCCUAUUAGUGGGGGACAACAUUCCGAAAGGGAUGCUAAUACCGCAUACGCCCUACGGGGGAAAGCAGGGGAUCUUCGGACCUUGCGCUAAUAGAUGAGCCUAAGUCGGAUUAGCUAGUUGGUGGGGUAAAGGCCUACCAAGGCGACGAUCUGUAGCGGGUCUGAGAGGAUGAUCCGCCACACUGGGACUGAGACACGGCCCAGACUCCUACGGGAGGCAGCAGUGGGGAAUAUUGGACAAUGGGGGAAACCCUGAUCCAGCCAUGCCGCGUGUGUGAAGAAGGCCUUAUGGUUGUAAAGCACUUUAAGCGAGGAGGAGGCUACUGAGACUAAUACUCUUGGAUAGUGGACGUUACUCGCAGAAUAAGCACCGGCUAACUCUGUGCCAGCCGCCGCCGUAA